AUUGAACGCUGGCGGCAUGCUUUACACAUGCAAGUCGAGCGGCAGCGCGGGGGCAACCCUGGCGGCGAGCGGCGAACGGGUGAGUAAUGCAUCGGAACGUAUCCUCGAGUGGGGGAUAACCCAGCGAAAGUUGGGCUAAUACCGCAUGAGCUCUGAGGAGGAAAGCGGGGGACCUGCGAGGGCCUCGCGCUGGAGGGGCGGCCGAUGUCCGAUUAGCUAGUUGGUGGGGUAAAGGCUUACCAAGGCGACGAUCGGUAGCUGGUCUGAGAGGUUGAUCAGCCACACUGGGACUGAGACACGGCCCAGACUCCUACGGGAGGCAGCAGUGGGGAAUCUUGGACAAUGGGGGCAACCCUGAUCCAGCCAUGCCGCGUGAGUGAAGAAGGCCUUCGGGUUGUAAAGCUCUUUCGGACGGAACGAAAUGGGCGGGACUAAUACUCCUGUCUGAUGACGGUACCGUAAGAAGAAGCACCGGCUAACUACGUG
rnacentral:rRNA from 1 species